rnacentral:tRNA from 1 species
AGGCGGAUAGCUCAGUGGUAGAGCAUCCCGAUUACUCCGGGAGGGGCGCAGCGUUCGAUUCCUGCUCCGCCUACCA